UACAGAGGGUGCAAGCGUUAAUCGGAAUUACUGGGCGUAAAGCGCGCGUAGGUGGUUCGUUAAGUUGGAUGUGAAAUCCCCGGGCUCAACCUGGGAACUGCAUUUGUGACUGCAAGGCUGGAGUGCGGCAGAGGGGGAUGGAAUUCCGCGUGUAGCAGUGAAAUGCGUAGAUAUGCGGAGGAACACCGAUGGCGAAGGCAAUCCCCUGGGCCUGCACUGACGCUCAUGCACGAAAGCGUGGGGAGCAAACAGG
rnacentral:rRNA from 1 species